CGGCCUGAUGAAUGUCUGCCUGGAUCCAGCAAUCACUCAGGACACACAAACACAUGCAUGCAUAAAUGUACAUAUAUGUGACUACACACGCGCUCAGUUAAGCAUCCAUUUUUAGAACCUUCUCAGAAUAAGAAUUCUAUUUUUUCACUCUACCUUUAAUUUGAAACAAAGAUUUGCAAGUUUUUGGAAAAUGUUCCUCCACGGUUUUCUGAGAUGAGAAUGUGGGUCCUGAUACUCGUCUGCAGGCAGCGAAUUAGCUUUACAGCUACGUGCCGUUAUCUCAAACCCUCACUUGUAAUGUUUCAACCGAAUGGAACCAGCUUGUUCCUCCCAGUCUGCAUCUCCACCAGGGUGUUUGUUAUUUCAUAGAAAUCACCUGUGUGUGUGUGUGUGUGUAGAGUGUGCAUGAAUUACUUAUUCAUAACGUUAUAGAGUUACAGUCGGCCCACACGCAAACAUUUCCACCGCGUGUUCCCUCAGACCGACCUAAGAAAACAUGUGAAUAACACACAAAGAGACAAGCCGGAGAGAGAAAGCGAAAGGCUGAAUAUUCUCCUGAGAAUUUCCAUCAAAUGGCAAAACAACCACACGUGAUUAAGAGCUUCCUGUUUUUAAAGGAUGUAAAAGUGGCCACGUUAAAUCUUCAGACUAAAACGUUUUGAAAUAGCCAAGUCCAGGUGACGCCAUUCUUCCUUCGGGUUGGACGUGUGUAGGAAUCAACAACCGGCGCAGCAGAUUUCACAGAGAGGCUCAACUCGCCCGGUGAGGUUCCCACGGCGACGAGGGCCUGCAGCAUCGGGACGCUCACAGUGGACAGCGGACAGGGGGCGCUGCUGUCAGGGAGACACCCGUCGACACUCACAGGGUUCCUGGGCCGAGGCCCAUCGUCUCUGGGCUGGAGGAUAACUGGACAGAUUACAUCCGGUUUGUAUCAUUUAUUUUACGCUCUUCUUCCCCCUUUGUUUUCACUUUUCUGCAGUGAAACGCUCGCUGUGCUCCAUUUGGGUUUUAGUUUCUCUUUCAGACAUUUUGAAUGUGCAGAAUUCCUUAAAUUCUACAGUAACUUUACGCACAUGGACGUCAGUCACCAACCAGUUUGCAGCUGCCGCCGGGACCAAACAAGCCAAUCGGAGAGCAGGAUGCUGCUCUUGAUGCUCCGGAGUGCGCCUGUCCACCUGUCCACCGGUCUGUCCCUCUGGUGUCCCACAUUUUCUAAUGGGCUUCUGUGUUGUGCAGGUUCAGUGUCCCAGUGGACCACCUGUCUGUCUACCUGUCUGUCACGUUUGGAUCGAGCAGUCAGACUCGUCAGAGGAAACAAGCAGGAACCUCUCACACAAACAAAAGCCCUGAAAGGUCAAAGGUCUACACGUUUUUUGUGCUGUUCUGGAGCAAAGACGAAUAGACAUAAUACAUACGGAUAAGUCCCAAAAUGUAUCUUUUUCAUUUACAAGGGCCCUUAUGAAUGAAUAAUUGAACAAAAGGCGGAGGAAGAGGAACAGAGACGGAUCAUUCGUUUCCUCAUAAGGAUUAUUAUCGUCACAAUGUCUCUGAAAAACCAGAAAACAAGUAAAUAAGCUUUUUACUGAAUUUUACAGUGCAGCUUCUGUGUCUCAAAUUUAGAAGUCAGGAAAAAUGAUGCUUCAGAUGAUGGUUGGCUCAUUUUAAAGUUACUUCUAUAUGGCAUCCGCACAUUCCAUUCCUUUGCAGAUUGAACUCUUAACAAUUAUGUGAUGAAACGAUGAAAAGGAGGAAAACAUUUUUUGCUUGAAGUGAAUAAAAAUGGACAGUGUCUCGAUAGUCGACAUCUUUGAUUUCUGUAGUCGCAUUAUUUAAGUUUAGUUUUAUAUUGCAAGCGUCUGAUUGGUAAAGAUAACCAAGUAAAUAAUCAAUAGUUUGAUUGCUUUGACAGCAGAUUAAAGUGACGUCACCCAGACAGAAAAAAACAACAUAUUUCAUGUUCAUGUUUCUUUUUUAUGUCCUUCAAAACAGGAAAAAUUAUAACCUUCCUCUUUGGUAAUUCGUUCUCCAUUAAGCAGUUUUUAAAUUAAACAUUUA